rnacentral:rRNA from 1 species
GAUGAACGCUGGCGGCGUGCCUAAUACAUGCAAGUCGAGCGAACAGACGAGGAGCUUGCUCCUCUGACGUUAGCGGCGGACGGGUGAGUAACACGUGGAUAACCUACCUAUAAGACUGGGAUAACUUCGGGAAACCGGAGCUAAUACCGGAUAAUAUAUUGAACCGCAUGGUUCAAUAGUGAAAGACGGUUUUGCUGUCACUUAUAGAUGGAUCCGCGCCGCAUUAGCUAGUUGGUAAGGUAACGGCUUACCAAGGCAACGAUGCGUAGCCGACCUGAGAGGGUGGUCGGCCAGACUGGCACAGAGACACGGUCCAGACUCCUACGCGAGGCAGCAGUAGGGACUCUUACGCGAUGGGCGAAAGCCUGACGGAGCAACGCCGCGUGAGUGCUGAAGGUCUUCGGAUCGUAAAGCUCUGUUAUUAGGGAAGAACAAAUGUGUAAGUAACGAUGCACGUCUUGACGGUACCUAAUCAGAAAGCCCCGGCUAACUACGUG